rnacentral:rRNA from 1 species
CCUACGGGUGGCAGCAGUGGGGAAUAUUGGGCAAUGGAGGCAACUCUGACCCAGCAAUGCCGCGUGAGUGAUGACGGUAAUUUUAUUGUAAAGCUCUUUUCUUUGGAACGAAUAAAUGACGGUACCAAACGAAUAAGCCCCGGCUAACUAAGUGCCAGCAGCCGCGGUAAUACGUAGGGGGCAAGCGUUUUUCGGAAUGACUGGGGUUAAAGGGUGUGUUGGUGGUUUGAUAAGUUAGAUGUGUAAUACCCAGGGCUUAACUCGGAUACUGCAUCUAAAACUGUUAGACUUGAGUACUGGAGAGGAUAGUGGAAUUCCUGGUGUAGCGGUGGAAUGCUUAGAUAUCACGAAGAACUCCGAUUGCGAAGGCAGCUUACUAAACUGCCACUGACAUUGAUGCUCGAAAGUGUGGGUAUCAAACAGGAUUAGAUACCCUAGUAGUC